rnacentral:rRNA from 1 species
CCCUUAGAUGUCCUGGGCCGCACGCGUGCUACACUGAUGCAUACAGCGAGUACUUUCCAGCUCCGCGAGGCAGCUGGUAAUCAGCAAUAUGCAUCGUGCUGGGGAUAGAUCUUUGGAAUUAUAGAUCUUGAACGAGGAAUUCCUAGUAAGCGCAAGUCAUUAGCUUGCGCUGAUUAAGCCCCUGCCCUUUGUACACACCGUCCGUCGCUCCUACCGAUUUCGAGUGAUUCGGUGAACCUUUUGGACAGCGUCUGUCCUCGUGUCAGAUGCUGAAAGUCAAGUAAACCAUAUCACUUAGAGGAAGGAGAAGUCGUAACA